UACGUAGGGGGCAAGCGUUGUCCGGAAUCAUUGGGCGUAAAGCGCGUGUAGGCGGCCUUGUAAGUCCGUUCUGAAAGUCCGGGGCUCAACCCCGGGAGGCGGAUGGAUACUGCAAGGCUCGAGUCCGGAAGAGGCGAGUGGAAUUCCCGGUGUAGCGGUGAAAUGCGCAGAUAUCGGGAAGAACACCUAUGGCGAAGGCAGCUCUCUGGGACGGUACUGACGCUGAGACGCGAAAGCGUGGGGAGCGAACAGG
rnacentral:rRNA from 1 species